UCACCGGAGCUACAAUCAAUUAAGGUUUCUCCAGUUGAGCGCUGGAAGAUCUCUAGUUCGUUACGAUUCUAGUUCAAGGAAUAUGCUGGUUGGGGACCGAAUUCAAGGGUUCAAAGUAAAUAUAAAACCAGAGAAGAAGUCAAAGUUGUCAUCAGUAGUUCUGAAGAUACGUGGAAUUGAUCAGCAAAGCAACAAAUCCACACACAGUGGAUGGGCCAUUCUAACCUUGUCAUUUCAGAAGCAAAGCAACAAUCAAUGAUUUCCUUUCCAUUGCUGAUGACA